rnacentral:rRNA from 1 species
GUGGGGAAUUUUGGACAAUGGGCGCAAGCCUGAUCCAGCAAUGCCGCGUGCAGGAAGAAGGCCUUCGGGUUGUAAACUGCUUUUGUACGGAACGAAACGGCUCUGGUUAAUACCCGGGGCUAAUGACGGUACCGUAAGAAUAAGCACCGGCUAACUACGUGCCAGCAGCCGCGGUAAUACGUAGGGUGCAAGCGUUAAUCGGAAUUACUGGGCGUAAAGCGUGCACAGGCGGUUUUGUAAGACAGGCGUGAAAUCCCCGGGCUCAACCUGGGGAUGGCGCUUGUGACUGCAAAGCUGGAGUGCGGCAGAGGGGGAUGGAAUUCCGCGUGUAGCAGUGAAAUGCGUAGAUAUGCGGAGGAACACCGAUGGCGAAGGCAAUCCCCUGGGCCUGCACUGACGCUCAUGCACGAAAGCGUGGGGAGCAAACAGGAUUAGAAACCCUAGUAGUCC